UACGUAGGUGGCAAGCGUUAUCCGGAAUUAUUGGGCGUAAAGCGCGCGUAGGCGGUUUUUUAAGUCUGAUGUGAAAGCCCACGGCUCAACCGUGGAGGGUCAUUGGAAACUGAAAAACUUGAGUGCAGAAGAGGAAAGUGGAAUUCCAUGUGUAGCGGUGAAAUGCGCAGAGAUAUGGAGGAACACCAGUGGCGAAGGCGACUUUCUGGUCUGUAACUGACGCUGAUGUGCGAAAGCGUGGGGAUCAAACAGGAUUAGAUACCCUGGUAGUCCACGCCGUAAACGAUGAGUGCUAAGUGUUAGGGGGUUUCCGCCCCUUAGUGCUGCAGCUAACGCAUUAAGCACUCCGCCUGGGGAGUACGGCCGCAAGGCUUAAACUCAAAGGAAUUGACGGGGACCCGCACAAGCGGUGGAGCAUGUGGUUUAAUUCGAAGCAACGCGAAGAACCUUACCAAAUCUUGACAUCCUUUGACCGCUCUAGAGAUAGAGUCUUCCCCUUCGGGGGACAAAGUGACAGGUGGUGCAUGGUUGUCGUCAGCUCGUGUCGUGAGAUGUUGGGUUAAGUCCCGCAACGAGCGCAACCCUUAAGCUUAGUUGCCAUCAUUCAGUUGGGCACUCUAAGUUGACUGCCGGUGACAAACCGGAGGAAGGUGGGGAUGACGUCAAAUCAUCAUGCCCCUUAUGAUUUGGGCUACACACGUGCUACAAUGGACAAUACAAAGGGCAGCGAAACCGCGAGGUCAAGCAAAUCCCAUAAAGUUGUUCUCAGUUCGGAUUGUAGUCUGCAACUCGACUACAUGAAGCUGGAAUCGCUAGUAAUCGUAGAUCAGCAUGCUACGGUGAAUACGUUCCCGGGUCU
rnacentral:rRNA from 1 species